GUGUUACUCCCUCCGUCCGAAAAUACUUGUCAUCAAAAUGGAUAAAAAGGGAUGUAUCUAAAACUAAAAUACGUCUAGAUACAUCCCCUUUUAUUUAUUUUGAUGACAAGAAUUUCCGGACGGAGGGAGUAUGUG
rnacentral:pre_miRNA from 1 species